rnacentral:rRNA from 1 species
UGGCUCAGAACGAACGCUGGCGGCGUGCCUAAUACAUGCAAGUCGAACGUUAAGUGUAGCAAUACACUGAAAGUGGCGAACGGGUGAGUAACACGUAAGUAAUCUGCCUUUAAGAUUGGGAUAACCUUGCCAACGCGGGGCUAAUACCGGAUGUGGUCGGAUGGACGCAUGUCUGUUUGAUUAAAGGAGCGAUCCGCUUAAAGAUGAACUUGCGGCCCAUUAGUUAGUUGGCGGGGUAACGGCCCACCAAGACAGCGAUGGGUAGCCGGCCUGAGAGGGUGUACGGCCACAUUGGGACUGAGAUACGGCCCAGACUCCUACGGGAGGCAGCAGUAGGGAAUUUUGCGCAAUGGACGAAAGUCUGACGCAGCAACGCCGCGUGAGGGAUGAAGGCCUUCGGGUUGUAAACCUCUGUUGGACAGGAAAAAAAGGUAGCAAUACUUUGAUGGUACUGUUUGAGGAAGCACCGGCUAACUACGUGCCAGCAGCCGCGGUAAUACGUAGGGUGCAAGCGUUGUUCGGAAUCACUGGGCGUAAAGAGAGCGUAGGCGGGAUCGUAAGUUAGAAGUUUAAUACAUGGGCUUAACCCGUGGUCAGCUUUUAAUACUGCGGUUCUUGAGUAUGGGAGAGGGCGAUGGAAUUCCAGGUGUAGCGGUGGAAUGCGUAGAUAUCUGGAAGAACACCAGUAGCGAAGGCGGUCGCCUGGCCUAAUACUGACGCUGAGGCUCGAAAGCUAGGGGAGCAAACAGGAUUAGAUACCCUGGUAGUCCUAGCCGUAAACGAUGAACACUAGUUGCCGGAGGAGUCAAUCUUUUUGGUGACGAAGCUAACGCAUUAAGUGUUCCGCCUGGGAAGUACGCUCGCAAGAGUGAAACUCAAAG